GCUGCCGCUUGCACCUGCUGCUGGCACCCAGUGCUGGUCCUGAUCACUUGGCGCUGUCAGCGGGUGUGAGCAGUGGCUG
rnacentral:pre_miRNA from 1 species